GGAGGAAAGCAGGGGAUCGUAAGACCUCGCGCUAUUGGAUGAGCCAAAGUCGGAUUAGCUAGUUGGUGGGGUAAUGGCCUACCAAGGCGACAAUCCGUAGCUGGUCUGAGAGGACGACCAGCCACACCGGAACUGAGACACGGUCCGGACUCCUACGGGAGGCAGCAGUGGGGAAUAUUGGACAAUGGGGGAAACCCUGAUCCAGCGACGCCGCGUGUGUGAAGAAGGCCUGCGGGUUGUAAAGCACUUUUAGUGGGGACAAAAAGCUUCGAGCUAAUACCUCGGGGUCUUGAUUUAACCCAAAGAAAAAGCACCGGCUAACUCUGUGCCAGCAGCCGCGGUAAUACAGAGGGUGCGAGCGUUAAUCGGAAUUACUGGGCGUAAAGCGCGCGUAGACGGUUUUGUAAGUCAGAUGUGAAAUCCCUGGGCUCAACCUGGGAACUGCGUUUGAAACUACAAAGCUAG
rnacentral:rRNA from 1 species